rnacentral:lncRNA from 1 species
CAAUGUAUGUUUAUGCCUGUGGGCUAUCUUGCAUCGUAGUUUUUUCUACGCGAGGCCUUAGCCUUGUUAUCAAGCACUGAUUGGACAAUGUGAAUUUAUACCUAGAGAUUAUCUUGCAUCGUAUUUCUUUUUGUGCAUAGCCUUAUUAAGCGCUAACUAGACAAUAUAGAUUUAUGUCCAUAGACUAUUUUACACGUAAUGUUUUCUGUACGGAGCCUUGUUGAGCAGUAACUAGAUGAUAUAAAUUUAUGUCCAUAGACUAUCUUGCAUCAUAAUUUUCUCU